CGGGGUAAUCCAGGAGCUCUAUAGCUAGCAUAUUAGAUUAUGCGGGUGGUUCACGCAUCAGCCGUCAGUAGUGGGUUUGUCAUCAGAGAGUGGGCACAGAUGGCAGAGGACAUUGGAUGGGAGGAAGGAUGUCGGCUGGCUCGUUCGGAUGCUGUUUCAGGCCAGGUGCUUCUUAGAAAAGACCUACAGUGACACUUCUCAAGUGGUGUUGUAAUCUUAGCUUUGUUUGAAUGCUGAGAUGGGCCUCCAGGUGGCCCAACGCAUCUGGGUUACAUUCACGAAAUGACACAUUUCAGGGGCUCAACCAAUGCUCAGUUAUUAUCCUGCAAGGAGACAGAUCUGGGAGCUGGAGAGAUGAGGGCUGGUAUCUUCAAAGAGCAGACAGAACCCCUUCCUGAGAAGCCCCCAACCCCUCCCCCUCUCUAGAGCUGCACUGUCCAAUA